GUGUGUGUGUGUGUGUGUGUGUGUGUGUGUGUAUACACACACACACAUACAUAUACACACACACAC
rnacentral:miRNA from 1 species